UACCCGCUGAACUUAAGCAUAUCAAUAAGCGGAGAGAA
rnacentral:rRNA from 1 species